rnacentral:rRNA from 1 species
CUGGCGUCAGGAUGAACGCUAGCUACAGGCUUAACACAUGCAAGUCGAGGGCAGCAUGGGAUAGCUGCAUUCAGAUGGCGACCGGCGCACGGGUGAGUAACGCGUAUCCAACCUCCUGCCAGUAGGGAACAGCCCGGCGAAAGUCGGAUUAAUGCCCUAUGUUCUUCAAUGCGGACAUCUAAGUUGAAGGAAAGAUUCAUCGCUGGCAGAUGGGGAUGCGUCCGAUUAGCUUGCCGGCGGGGUAACGGCCCACCGGGGCGACGAUCGGUAGGGGUUCUGAGAGGAAGGUCCCCCACACUGGUACUGAGACACGGACCAGACUCCUACGGGAGGCAGCAGUGAGGAAUAUUGGUCAAUGGGCGUAAGCCUGAACCAGCCAAGUAGCGUGCAAGGAUGACGGCCCUACGGGUUGUAAACUGCUUUUAUGCGGGGAUAAAGUGCGGCACGUGUGCCGCUUUGCAGGUACCGCAUGAAUAAGGACCGGCUAAUUCCGUGCCAGCCGCCGC